CCUACGGGAGGCAGCAGUGGGGAAUAUUGCACAAUGGGCGCAAGCCUGAUGCAGCGACGCCGCGUGAGCGAUGAAGGCCUUCGGGUCGUAAAGCUCUGUCCUAAGGGAAGAAUAAUGACGGUACCUUAGGAGGAAGCCCCGGCUAAAUACGUGCCAGCAGCCGCGGUAAUACGUAGGGGGCGAGCGUUAUCCGGAAUCACUGGGCGUAAAGGGUGCGUAGGCGGCCCUGCAAGUCAGGAGUUAAAUCCCUCGGCUCAACUGAGGUCAGCUCUUGAAACUGUAGGGCUUGAGUGCAGGAGCGGAGAGCGGAAUACCGAGUGUGGCGGUGAAAGGGGUAGAUAUGAAUAGGAGAAAGAGUGGCGAAGGCGACUCUUUGGAGUGCAACUGCGGAUGAGGCUGGGAGGCGUGAGGCGUGAAAAGGAUUAGAUACAGGUGUAGUC
rnacentral:rRNA from 1 species